AACAGUAACCCCUCACUAAAGUAAGGGGCUUGAAAUGAAAGUUUUAAGUCUGCUCACUUUGAUGAGGAUUCUGGAGCAAUCCAGAAUUUGUUGUCUAGACUAAGCAGUCAGCUUCGGCUGACUGGGAAACUACGUUAUUUUAGUCAUCAUACCUUAGGAUGAUGCCCUAGUUCUAAGCUCUAUGGAGGCUCUGUAAACAAUCGUAAGGUUAAUGCGAUAGUCAACCUUGUUAACAAGCUAAAAUAACAUUGUCGAAGGGUAACCAC
rfam:Lactobacillus equi DPC 6820 NODE_4, whole genome shotgun sequence.